rnacentral:misc_RNA from 1 species
AAGUCGUAACAAGGUAACCGUAGGUGAACCUGCGGUUGGAUCAUUACCAAAUCCAAACUGGUGCCUUGGAAAGGAGGGGGGGGCUACCCCUCUCCCUCCGCUCCCUGGUGCCUUUCACACCAUGUGCAAUGUUCUUUUGGAAACGGGUGGUGUUUGUGGCUGUGUGUGUGUGUGCUUGCGCACUCGCACUCUCUCACUCCCCCCACCCGCUCCAUUCACAACCAUGUGCUCUCCAAUCACCUGACGUUUACCCUCGUGGACCUGGUGCGCGCCUAGCGUGUGCCGGUGGCCAUUAGAGCUUAACGAAAAACAACUUUUGACAACGGAUCUCUUGGCUCUC